rnacentral:tRNA from 4 species
GGGCCCAUAGCUCAAUUGGCAGAGCAUCGUGCUGAUAACGCGGUGGUAGAAGGUUCGAAUCCUUCUGGGCCCACCA